rnacentral:lncRNA from 1 species
GGGUGUUGACGCGAUGUGAUUUCUGCCCAGUGCUCUGAAUGUAGCCAAAUGCCUCGUCUAUCCAGCGAAACCACAGCCAAGGGAACGGGCUUGGCGGAAUCAGCGGGGAAAGAAGACCCUGUUGAGCUUGACUCUAGUCUGGCAUGGUGAAGAGACAUGAGAGGUGUAGAAUAAGUGGGAGGCCCCUGGCGCCCCCCCGUACCCG